AUUAAACGCUGGCGGCAUGCCUUACACAUGCAAGUCGAACGGUAGCGCGGGGCAACCUGGCGACGAGUGGCGAACGGGUGAGUAAAGCAUCGGAACGUGCCCUGGAAUGGGGGAUAACGUAGCGAAAGUUACGCUAAUACCGCAUAUUCUGUGAGCAGGAAAGCAGGGGAUCGCAAGACCUUGCGUUCUGGGAGCGGCCGAUGUCGGAUUAGCUAGUUGGUGGGGUAAAAGCCUACCAAGGCGACGAUCCGUAGCGGGUCUGAGAGGAUGAUCCGCCACACUGGGACUGAGACACGGCCCAGACUCCUACGGGAGGCAGCAGUGGGGAAUUUUGGACAAUGGGCGGAAGCCUGAUCCAGCCAUGCCGCGUGAGUGAAGAAGGCCUGGUUGUAAG
rnacentral:rRNA from 1 species